rnacentral:rRNA from 1 species
GAACGGGUGAGUAAUACAUCGGAACGUGCCCAGUAAUGGGGGAUAGCUCGGCGAAAGCCGGAUUAAUACCGCAUACGCCCUGAGGGGGAAAGUGGGGGAUCGCAAGACCUCACGUUAUUGGAGCGGCCGAUGGCUGAUUAGCUAGUUGGUAGGGUAAAGGCCUACCAAGGCGACGAUCAGUAGCUGGUCUGAGAGGACGAUCAGCCACACUGGGACUGAGACACGGCCCAGACUCCUACGGGAGGCAGCAGUGGGGAAUUUUGGACAAUGGGGGAAACCCUGAUCCGGCAAUGCCGCGUGUGCGAAGAAGGCCUUCGGGUUGUAAAGCACUUUUGUCAGGGAAGAAAUCCUUUGGGCUAAUACCCUAGGGGGAUGACGGUACCUGAAGAAUAAGCACCGGCUAACUACGUGCCAGCAGCCGCGGUAAUACGUAGGGUGCAAGCGUUAAUCGGAAUUACUGGGCGUAAAGCGUGCGCAGGCGGUUGUGUAAGACAGGUGUGAAAUCCCCGGGCUUAACCUGGGAAUUGCAUUUGUGACUGCACGACUAGAGUGUGUCAGAGGGGGGUGGAAUUCCACGUGUAGCAGUGAAAUGCGUAGAUAUGUGGAGGAACACCAAUGGCGAAGGCAGCCCCCUGGGAUAACACUGACGCUCAUGCA